UGAUCCUGGCUCAGAACGAACGCUGGCGGCAGGCUUAACACAUGCAAGUCGAACGGUCUCUUCGGAGGCAGUGGCAGACGGGUGAGUAACGCGUGGGAAUCUACCUAUCUCUACGGAACAACAGUUGGAAACGACUGCUAAUACCGUAUACGCCCCCCUUUGUGAUUAUUGGGUGGGGAAAGAUUUAUCGGAGAUAGAUGAGCCCGCGUUAGAUUAGCUAGUUGGUGAGGUAAUGGCUCACCAAGGCGACGAUCUAUAGCUGGUCUGAGAGGAUGAUCAGCCACACUGGGACUGAGACACGGCCCAGACUCCUACGGGAGGCAGCAGUGGGGAAUAUUGGACAAUGGGCGCAAGCCUGAUCCAGCCAUGCCGCGUGUGUGAUGAAGGCCCUAGGGUUGUAAAGCACUUUCAACGGUGAAGAUAAUGACGGUAACCGUAGAAGAAGCCCCGGCUAACUUCGUGCCAGCAGCCGCGGUAAUACGAAGGGGGCUAGCGUUGUUCGGAAUUACUGGGCGUAAAGCGUACGUAGGCGGACUAUUAAGUUAGGGGUGAAAUCCCAGGGCUCAACCCUGGAACUGCCUCUAAUACUGGUAGUCUUGAGUUCGAGAGAGGUGAGUGGAAUUCCGAGUGUAGAGGUGAAAUUCGUAGAUAUUCGGAGGAACACCAGUGGCGAAGGCGGCUCACUGGCUCGAUACUGACGCUGAGGUACGAAAGUGUGGGGAGCAAACAGGAUUAGAUACCCUGGUAGU
rnacentral:rRNA from 1 species